UCUUCCCACACUACUUCAACUUGUUCUUGCUUGCCCCUUGCUAUUGAAACUUUGAUUCUCUCCACUAUAAAGAAAGAAAAUGGGUCUUAAAGGUAAACUAACUGCCCAAAUUGAAAUUAGAGCUGGUGGAGAUGUCUUUCAUGAACUAUUUAGGUACAAACCACACCAAAUUCCCAACAUGAGCCCUACUAUUAUCCAACGCUGUGAUUUGCAUCAAGGAGAGUGGGGAACUAUUGGCUCCGUCAUCUUCUGGAAUUACACUCAUGGUAUGUUAAAUUGUAUUGAAAAAGAUCAUACUGAAUAGUACAACGAUAAUAUUUUAACUUAUUAUUCUAGUUAAAAGUGUCCAUUCUUUUCUAAUUCACUAUGCUAAUAGUAUUAUUGUCUAAUCAUGUGAUAUUUUAUUAUCCGUUGUGCUACAUGUAUAUAAUAGUUUAUAUACUGUUUGGUAUCGAUUAAAAUUUAUCUUUUAAUUUAAGUCAAAGUCAACAAUUCAUUUCAACCACAUAUUUUGUGGGUCUAACAACUUUUCAAGUACACAUUUCAUUAACUCCUAUCAAAAUCUCUUAAAUAUCUAAUCUUAAUCCCCACCAAAUAGGGUAAUAAUGGUUUACUUACACAUGAUGUGAUAAAAUAUGAUUGGUAGGAAUUUAUACAACCAAAAAAAUAAAUAAAUAAAAUAAAAUAAUCUCUUCCUUCUUUUUGAUACAUCAUCUAUAUGUAAAUCAUUAUAUAAUUUCAUUAUGUACAAGUAACAUUAUUCUUCUACUCUUAAGCUUAAAAAUUAAAUUCGAUAUGAUUGUAGAUGGGAAGCAAAAAGUAGCAAAAGAAGUAAUUGAAGCCAUAGACGUAGAAAAAAGGUCUGUGACAUUUAAGAUCAUUGAGGGUGAUUUGAUGGAGUUAUACAAGGCCUUCAAAGCCAGUUUUCAUGUUGAAACAAAUGGUGAUGUCGAUUUGGUGACAUGGACUUUCGAGUAUGAGAAGCUAAAUGACGACAUUGAAGAUCCACUAUCAUUGUUGGGUGUUUCCAUUAAGCUUACUAAAGAUAUUGAAUCUCACCAUCUCAAGGCAGCCUGAUAUGCAUAGGAGAGUCUCACUAAGCCAUCUCAACUUGUUUAUGCGAAUAUGUGUGUUUCUUUAUCGUUUUAGUAAUGAAAUAAAUAUUUCUUGGUGAUGUUUCUGGGUGAAAUAAUGUUGUGGCUUGGUGAUAAUUGUGUCACUGAGUGAUUAAGCAUAUUCUUAUUUUGUGAAAUAAUUAAAGUGCAG
rnacentral:lncRNA from 1 species